rnacentral:rRNA from 1 species
ACCAGCAGUGGUUCUGACUAGGUAAUCCACCCGAAGCUGAGUAGGUUUGGGCCUGGCCAGUACUUGGAUGGAAGACCAACUAGGAAAGCUGGCUGCUGUUGGAA